AGUGAACGCUGGCGGUAGGCCUAACACAUGCAAGUCGAACGGCAGCACAGUAAGAGCUUGCUCGUACGGGUGGCGAGUGGCGGACGGUUGAGGAAUACAUCGGAAUCUACUUUUUCGUGGGGGAUAACGUCGGGAAACUUACGCUAAUACCGCAUACGACCUACGGGUGAAAGCAGGGGAUCUUCGGACCUUGCGCGAUUGAAUGAGCCGAUGUCGGAUUAGCUAGUUGGCGGGGUAAAGGCCCACCAAGGCGACGAUCCGUAGCUGGUCUGAGAGGAUGAUCAGCCACACUGGAACUGAGACACGGUCCAGACUCCUACGGGAGGCAGCAGUGGGGAAUAUUGGACAAUGGGCGCAAGCCUGAUCCAGCAAUACCGCGUGGGUGAAGAAGGCCUUCGGGUUGUAAAGCACUUUUGUUGGGAAAGAAAAGCAGCAGGUUAAUACCACGCUGUUCUGACGGUACCCAAAGAAUAAGCACCGGCUAACUUCGUG
rnacentral:rRNA from 1 species